rnacentral:misc_RNA from 1 species
CCCCACUCGGCCUGCAGUUCACACGCCCACACGGCCACACCACCAGGCAACCAUAAUUCUCGUAACCCGUUCGUAGUUCCUCAUCCCGGCGGUGGCAGCAGCACCGUUGGCAGCAAUCCUCAUCCUAGAGGCGGCGGCAGCACUGCUGGCAGCAAUCCUCAUCCCAGAUUCCCAGUGGCGGCAGCAGCACUGCGGGCUGUUGGCGUGCCUCGGUCGACCAAAGUUGCAGCAGGGCUGCACGGGGCACGGCAAGGGGCUUUGUCUUCCAUUCCAGUGAGGGACACAACAAGAGGAAGUGCAAGCGCUUUGCUAUGGCGGCGGCC